UGACAAGGAGGAUUGCGACCUUGAUGGUGGAAAGAGGUCACCAGAGGGUGCAGCAGCUCUUUAGGUUGGACUGUUCGUCCAUUAAUUCCCUACAUGAUCUGAGUUCAGACCGACGUGAGUCAGGUCAGCAUCUAUCUUCUU
rnacentral:rRNA from 1 species